rnacentral:miRNA from 1 species
UUCAGGAACCCAGGUGGGUUGGGGCUCUUCCAUCUUCAACAGCUGGUUCCUGAAUG